ensembl:snRNA U6 U6 spliceosomal RNA
GUGCUUGCUUCAGCAGCACAUACAUUAAAAUUGGAACAAUACUGAGAUUAGCAUGGCUCCUGCACAAAGAUGACAGCAAAUAUAUAUAUAUAUAUAUUUUUUUU